UUGGAGUAUGGGGACUCACAUAUGCUCAUCAGAGUAAACAAUUACCUCACCAAUGAAAUGUCAAAGAUCCAUCAGAAUGGUAAAAUCCACAGGAGAGCAGAUUCUUUGGUGGAUUUGAAGCAGACACUCAUGAUUAUGGACAGUUCGGUGACUCUUGUUAGUGCUUAUGUUUUCUCUCACUAUAUUUCAUCUGCGAUGGUAACGCUUGCUGCAGGAGUCAGAAUUUGUCAUCAGAGCUGCCAGUCAAUCAUUUUAUGUCACAUCAAAUAACUAAUUCAAAUUUAAUUUCUUUGAUGAAUGAAUACUUCGGCAUAAAUCUACAUAACUAACUUCAACAGAAAGAAAUAUCAACACAUCCAUCUCUCUAUUUUCUUCUAUUUAUCUAGGGAUGUGUCAUAGCAGUCUAAGAAAGUCUACUCAGACAUCCUUCUCCCAUUCAGUGUUUUCCAGCUGCCCCCUGUCUUCCAACAUAACCUCUCAAGGGAGCCCUGGAACCAGAAUUCCACCAGACCCAUGUUCAGUUCAACAUCACUUUAAUCUGGUUUGGCUCUGUGGUCCCUUGUUCUUCAGUAUCAUAAGCAGCAGUGACACACUGGGGUCACAACACCCAAGUUUUCCUGGGUUAAAUACAGAUCAAUGGUUUUCGACAUAGGUUAUGUAGAAAACCUGAAUAUCUCUGACCUGUUGACUCUGGGCCUGGCUCUGCUUGCUAUGGCCAUUUCAAACACAAUAGAGUGGAGCCAGUGGAAGCAAACACAUUGACCAAAGUGAAAUCAUAUCUGUACUGGUGCUGUGGCAGAGCGGAGAAAGACUCAGCAGAAAUCUAAUGGAAUUAAAAUGUGGGUAUACCUUUGGGCAUCCUCCUAGUUAGAGGUACUCAGGAAAGCUCUCAAGGAAGGAAUUCAGGUGGUAUCCAGAUCUAAACCACCAGUGUGACUCCUUUUGAUGAAAAGGGACAACAGCUCUACUCAGAGCUCCCUCCACAUGCCUGACCCUCUCUCUAAGGCAAAGCCCAGCAGCCCUUUAGAGGAAGCCCAUUGUAUCCACAAUCUCAGUCUUUCAGUCAGCUCAUGACCAUAAGUCAUUCUGCACCUGGCUCUUAACUAUCCAGAUGCCUGCUGGGGGUCCCAGACUUAGAGGCUAGCAGAGCCACAUCACCUGCAAAGAGCAGAGAUGAUAUACUGAAGCUCCCCAUCAUUUCUUUAUCAUUUCCUUGAAGUAAUAGUCACCAUAUUUAUUUUGCACUGCAGACACGGUAGUUCCUCUGCCUUAGCGUCUUGGUCUGAUUGCAUUCCCAUGAAGAAAUGAUCAUAAAUGUUCUUCCUCGAGCUGCGUCACCCCGGUGGCUAGUGCUAUGGCUGGGACCUUAUAUACACUGUUGAUGAAGUUAGGUGCUGUUCUGAGCAUUAUUUGUGGCUAUAGAGUGGCGUUUUGGUUGAGGUGUGCGUGUGGAUCCAUAGACCGCUGUGUAUUGCUAUUGUGUGGUCGUUACUGAAGUUGGUAUAACUUGAGAAGCAAGCGGUCGGCAACAUUCAUCCCUCGAGGGGUUGUCUAACUCAGUGAUAUGGUGUGUUUGACCCUAGAUUAAUUUUACGCCGGAAUAUCCCUUUAAAGUCCUUGCAGUGUCCAAAACCAUCUUCCCCCACAAAACUGCCAAAGGUACAUGAUCGUAGACCUUCUCCAAGUUCACAAAACCCUUGUAGACUGGAUAGGCAAACUCCUAUCCUCCUCUAACAGUGCUGCAAAGGUAAGGACUUGGUCCACAGUAUCCCGUAUAUGGCUUUAUCCUCUCUGACAUGACAGAGUAAGCUUUUCCCGAUAGGCCAAGUAAUACCUAGAUCAUUGGCGCACACUCUUUAGUCCCCCGUUUUGACAAUCACUACCUGGGUGUGCCACUCCACAUGCACUGUCCCUAGGUCUUCAGACUCUGCCUUCUCCACUUGGAAAUUCAUUUUGAUGUUGCUUAUCUAGCUUGACCCACGUUCUAUCUGUUACAAUCAAACAGGCAGGGUUCAAGACCCAUACUACUUUGAAGCUUAUGGCUUACCACAGCGUAACUGUUUUGUAUUCAACCAAUGACACAAACUCAAGAGUCUGAACUAAGCCAUUGCUGUUAUGUGUCCGUGUGUGCAUGUUUUGGUGAAUUUCUGAGCUUUUCAUGUCCAUACAUGCCUGAGCCUGGCAAUGUUCGGAAACACCUGACCCAGAAAGCAGUACAAGGGACGUGAGGCAUUACCCUGUCGAGCUCCCCGCCCCAACAUUCAUUUCCAUCAAGACCUGUAAUAAUGCUUGUACUCUUGGCUGAAAUUGCUUUCUGCCUUUCGGGUCAGUACAACUGGACUGAGCGAUGGGAAAGGGGGGAGGGGUGUUAUUCCAGAGUAAGUGUUUGCUGCUUUUUCUCUUUGGGUAGUUAGAAGCCAUGACCUGUGUUCAGCCACCAUGCUACAAUCAUAUUAGCACAGUGAUUUAUAUGUGCAGAAAUCCGAGGCAGUUUUCAUGAUAGAGGUUUACGACAGCAUGAUAGAGUGGCCUCCUGGUGUACCACAUUUCGCUGCUUUCACUUUUCUUUCUCUUUCUCUCUGAUGCUCUGCUCUCGCCACGCACAAAGCGUUGAAUUUAUUAGUGCUGUGAUGUGAUGAAUAAUGCACUCUGUCAUAUUUCUUACAGGGUGCUUUUCACUCAGAGCAACAGCCUGGCAUAACUAAAUAUUUAUCUCCCUCUUUCUCUUUCUAUGUCAGUGGCCGAACAGUUGUGUUGGGAUAAGGGAGAGAGACAAAUGAAUCCUUUACUCCCUUAAAAUGUAUAUAUACGGUUUAACGUAAAAGUCGUAUACUUCUGAAACAGCUAUGGAAAUUCGAAAUGCAGAUUAUGUGGGAUCAAAACAAUACGAGAAAUCCUCUGUGGCUAAUCUGAAUGCAAACCUUCAAGACGUGGGAUUGGUGAAGAGGUAAUUGGUAGCUUUUAUUUGACGGCGUGCUGAUUGACCUGCCUUGGCAUUUCUCAACAUUGUCACACUGGCUUGUCAAACGCUCACGGGUCUGCUUGAAAAAUCACAGCCAAUCAUGCUGAGUUAUGCAGAGAGCUCUUAAAAUGGUGAAGAGCUGGAACUGCUGGGGUGGCAGCUCGGGAUCAGUCCAAUCCUAAUUAUUAAAACUGUGAAAUAUUCUUCCUCUGAGUCCACACUUGAGGCGUGACUGCGUUGAUUUUCCAAAAGAGCUCACUGGUAGAAGUUGCACUCACAGUGCGUGCUUUACUUUGCUUUUUGAUCACAGCUAAGGGUAAGUAUUUAAACGGGUGAUUAGGCAGAGGCUGAUUGUCCUCUGUCUUUUGAAAUAAGUAUGAAGAAGCUAUAUGCUGUAUCAGCUUCUAUAAGAGCACUGUCAUCAACAUCUUUUUUAUCAUUAGAUCAAGACUGCCCCUUACUCUGCACUUUACUCGUCUUCUUCACACUGAAGUGGGCACAUAUGAACUUGGGCCAAAAGCCAGGAAGCAAAAACGCAGUUUGAAAAGGAAUAGUUUAACUUUUUGGAUAAAACCCUAGCAGCAAGAACUACUGAUCAUCAUUUUUUUAAAUAUCAGCAGUUAAUUCAAGAGCGAAGUAUACUGUACAGAGUGGAAACUAGAUUUCAAUAAAAAUACCCAUCACCACAUUUACUAACAAGAGUAUUGCUAGAUUUUGUAUGGUUUUCAUUUAAGUAUAUCUGUUGAACCAAAAUCUUUGUUUUCUUUGUGAUACAGGAUUCUGACUGGCUAACGAGGGUUUGAGCUUCUCGCUACACUGCCACCUACAUGUUUGAUAUGUUCUUGAAGGCAUAUAUACAUGGGUUAGUGUAAAUUAAAAAUUUUGGAACUGUAGUUGUGUGCAUGCAGUUUAUUUAUUUUUUUUGUAAAUGGAGAGGGUCAGAUGUCCAUUUAUGAAAAUAGUCGGUCAUGUGUAAACGUAGUCCUAUUUUUACUUUAUCUGUGUUCCAUUUCAGAGGCUUUAUCCCAGAAGGGACCCAGCCUUCUUAACUUGACCUUUUAAUAAAUCUCAAAGGUAAUUUAAAGUUUGAAGACCCCUUUGUGUUUUUAUCUUUUGUAUCACAAGAAUUUUUUCAUGAACAUGGCAACAGAAUGGAUGAACACAAUUGCAGGACAAAAAGCUGUAGGUCUUAGGGUUUACCAAACAAGCAGACUUUGGUACACAGGAAAUCAUUCAGUACAGGCAGAGGUAUCCAGAGAUGUGGGGCAAAAAUCAAGGUCAAAAAAGGAGGCAAGAAUAAACACGGUGUGGCUAAGGCCCCGUUUAUAUGUACCCAGUUAUUUUAAAAAAUAAAGACAUCAAGCAUUGUUUGCACCCUUUGUUUAGACACAAAGGGAGAAUUGGCUCCUGAAAAGGAUGCUUUUUAAAAACUUUGAGAGAAACAGUGAGAGAAAUUAGGUUAAAUACAAGAGGUAAUGAGGGUGAUGAGAAACAGGUGGGGAGACAGUAUCAGGAUGCAAGUGUGAAAAGAUGGGGCAGAGCAGAUCAGACAGGAACAAAUCUAGAAAAAAGAAACAGUCACUUCGAAAAAAGACAGGAAAGACAUGAAACGUGAAAACCUUAAUGUGCAAAAUAUAAAGGAAACUUAACCAACUCAACACAUUUAGAAAUGUAUUUCUUAGCCACUGGAGAAUUCACUAUAUUGUUUGAAUUAGCGCACAAUGAAUACUGGGAUAGGCCACGAAGGAUGCUCUCCGGGGGUCCUUUAUGGGCCAAGAAAAGUGGGACACGUUUGUCGCCCACAUCUAAAGAGGUCUUCAACACGCUGCUGUCACGCAGUCGAUCUUCAAAUGCAUCUUUAGAAAGAUGCCGCUCCUAAAUUGGGACUCAGCUAGAGUUUUGAUGCUGUCAGAUGAAGUUACAGCCCGGCCCACACCAAAAGAAUUUUGAAAUCAAUUUUUCUUUUACAAAUGGAUGCCAGAAAUGUCAAAAUUAUCAAAAAUGAUGACACAUAAUUUCAGAUUUGAUAGCUUUCUUCUAAUAUCGCAUCACACACCAACAGAGAUCAUUCACCAGCUCAUGAGUGAAAGCAGGGGGAAUCGUAGUAAUCAAUUCUGAUUCUGAUUCAUUUGGUGACCUAUUUUUUGUUAGCUUUUAACAAGCAGUCCAAUAUAACAAUUUUUUUAAGCCAAGACCCAGAACAUAAGAACAGAAUGACUGAAUUUUGAUUUUAAUUUAAUACCCAAUAUCUUACAGCAGCAGAACAGCGGUGUCAAGAUCUGUUGGCAGUCAACAAAUGUUGCUUGAACCAGAGAAAAUGAGUAUAACAGUGCUUACGAUUCACUUAAGGGUUACAAAGUUCUUCUGAAAAGGGCGAUUUAAGAUUAAUUCUCAGUAAAGGGUGAAGCCAGCACCCUCGCUUUUAUUUUUUGUAGACUCUUAAAACACAGUAAACACCGACAAGACUCUUCUUUCCCACUUUUAACAUGUCACUUCAAUGUCAGAGAAAGAAGUGUUU